CGCAUACCUGCUCUGCGUGAUCAGCAGUGAGACUGGCAAAAAACAUUCCCUCGUCACCUGAUACUUUUGGAUGAAAAGGAAAGCUCUACAACGCCUGCGGCGUCGGAGCACCGGGCGAUUCAUGUCACAGGAAACCGAGCACUCCCAGCCGCCUUGGAAUUCAAACCUCCGGGGCUGUUGUUUUUGUGCGGGAGAGAAAAACCGGAUGAUCGAGACGUACAUUCAGUCACCUUUUCAGUUGACAAAGCAGCAACAAAUUGGAUAGCAUUGUUCCGGCUUUCACCCGGAACAGUAUUUGGGGACCCAGCCCCACCACCCCCUUUUAUGUGAAGUAAUCUAAACCUUCAAGCACAGCAAAUCAAUAGGCUACUGUCCCGUGCCAGUGAUGUCCAACUUAGCGAACGCUUUCAUGAGACUUAAAGAAUCAUGGGCUUCGGCACUAGCUGGUCAUGUUUAGUGCCCUUGUGUGUGUGUUUUAAAUAUAAAGUAUCAUUUAGUAACACUGGACAAA